rnacentral:rRNA from 1 species
GACGAACCGUGCGAACGUUAUUCGGAAUCACUGGGCUUAAAGCGCGUGUAGGCGGGCCGCCACGUCGGCUGCUGAAAUCCCCCGGCUCAACCGGGGAACGGGCACCGAUACGAGCGGCCUGGAGGGGGGUAGGGGGGUCUGGAACUUCCGGUGGAGCGGUGAAAUGCGUUGAGAUCGGAAGGAACGCCCGUGGCGAAAGCGAGGCCCUGGACCCUUUCUGACGCUGAGACGCGAAAGCCAGGGGAGCGAACGGG